GAUACUGCUCUGUGUUCUUGCACAUGCUUGUGAAAUGUGGUGUGUCAACUCCACCGGGGGUUUGCCAAGAAGCGUCUACACAAGCACAUCACGACUGCCCAGCAUGGGAGUUGUAAAAAAUGGCCUGAGCAUGGCAAUUUCCCAAAUGAACCCCACAAAUUUGUUUCCCGUUGCCAUGGAAAUGUGGUCAGAGCCCAGUUUGGAACUUUUUUUCCAUGGCAGCGCUGUGUGUGUGUGAGAGAGAGGGAGGGAUUCUGGGAGCAAUUACUGAGCGGGAAUUCGGGCUAGGAUGGGGAAGAGGAGGAGACACAGCGGCUAAGAAUGUCUGAGUGAAAGAAAGAAACUGAAGGAGUCAAAGAAAGAUUUCCCGCUCUGUGUGAAAAAGAAAAGAAACGUAAAGUGUGUGAUGCGAGUUUUUGCAGAAACUAGAAAAGAACGGGAUUAAAAAGAAAAGUGGAGUUUAAAAACGUUUUUAUAGACACUUUUCUCAUUCUGUUUUCAGUGCAAAUGCAUAUAUUCAGUGAAUUGCAUAACAGUCAAACACCAAAGUUUGAGCCUGUGAAAUGAAUUGAAAUGUACACACUUAUUUAGCAAAAUAAGCAAAAAAAAGUUGCAAAAUAAAAAGAGAGUGAACUGUAGAUUGAAACGGUGGGUUGGACAGUACAAUACAUGUCAUGAAGGUCGAGUCCUUAUCACAGCAGCAUGGUUUUAAUUCUUACCUGAUUUUUUACACUGUAUGUUUGAGUCUUUUCCAUCUUUUCCAAUGUCUGUCAGUCUUCAGUUUAAAGGUAAACUGGCCUAAAAUAAUCUGUAUACUGCAGUAUAUGCAGUCAGCUCAAACAAUAACCAAGAGAGUACUAAUGCCAGACAGAAGACAGGAACGCUCCAGAAAAGGUCAUAUACAACAAAAUAAUGUUGUGCUUACAAUAUCAGCUCCAAAACAAGACAAAUUUGGUACAAUGUAGCAACCUACUAUGAAAUCCACUCGCUUCGUUAGACCAGCAGCUUUCUUGGGAAAAUCUUACUUUUUUAUUUAUUUAUUUAUUUAUUUAUUGCAAUGUCAAGAGUUUUUUCUAUCUUAAAGAGAAGUUCAGCGGAGUUGCAGAGACUCUCCAGGAGGUUGGAUCUGGAAGCGGAAAAAGCCUAAAGGUCAGGCAUUAUGGGGGACAAUAAGGGCUUUGGCUGAUUUUCCUGAGACCUGAGGAUUUUGAAAAUCGUUUUCCUUUUUCCUUGUUAUCUUAUCUUAUCUUAUCUUAGACAUGUUAUCUUUUUUAUGUAUGUUGACAUGUUUCGGCAGAAACUUCUGCCAUCCUCAGAAGUGUCACUUGGUGGUAGGUGUGACACGUCAUAUCAGAUGGUGUUAUACACACCUUGAGCAGCGUCCUGCAGGGGCGAACAGACAGGUGUGACCCUCCCGUCAAAAAAAAUUGACAGGAGGGUAACGCCUCCGUAACACCAGCUGAUAUGUCACAACUACCACCAAGUGACACUUCUGAGGAUGGCAGAAGUUUCUGCCGAAACAUGUCGAGGUACAUGAAAAGAUAACAGGUCUCGGAUAAAGGGAGAAAAAAAAAAGAUUUUUAAGAAACUGAAGACAUAAUGAUCAUCAUUCAACAGCUGAGGAUAUUAGAGCUGUUUGCCUGGCAGCUUGACUCCUCCUCUUUGCAGGUGUUUUGUUGCAUCUGUUGCUAAUUGAAAAAUUGCUGCUGUAGUGCAUCUCGACAGCAGAAUCUAUACUUUCUUUCUCUGGCCUGCACAAACAUGGUUAAAUGAUUAAUGUUAUGAUCAAUGUAAAGAUCAAGGUUUUCAGUCAUGAUUGUUAAUUAUUACUGAAAUUCGAAGGAGAGUGUUUCAUUACUGUUGUGCAGAACUUUUAUUUAGGGCCCUCAGUGCACACACUAAAUUUUGUGGAGCUAGGCUUUGUAGUCAUGGUUACAAACCCCCAGUAUUAUGGCUUUACGCAGAGUUAUUUAUUGGUUGAUUUUUAAAGGUAGCACUUUCAAUAGAUCACAAAUUUCUAAAAAAGGUUUUCCUUUCCAGAAACCAAUGCCUGUUGCACUAAGACCAUGUUUUAUGCAGUUAACUGGCUAAAAGGUUGGUGUGCAUGCAACAACAGAUUACAAAGAACUAUGAUUUCUGUCUGUCUUAUACUCCCUUCAAAUUUUAUUCCAGUGAAUUAAAGGAACUUUAUCUCAAAACGUGCUCCCAUGCGUCAGACUCUGACCUCACCACAUUUCAAAGCUGCUCCUCCCAUCCCUGAGUAAUCGUAUAUGUUCAUCCUAACUGAACUAACUCCCACCCUAUAGUGUUUUCCCUGCUGACACGCCUUUCUGAGCCUUCCUGUUACAUCCUUGUACCUCUUUUUUCUCAGUCAGUGACAACAAACACACGUCAAAAGAAAACAUGAGGUUCCCAUUCAAGACUCUUCCCCUUUUGGUUCUAUAAAUUAAGACGUCCUGUCUCCACCCGGCAGCUUACACAAUAAUCAGUCUUCAUUUACAGUUUUUCCCCCCAACUCCUCAAAGUUUAAUCCAUGACUAUAAAAUCCCUCUGCUCCACCUGGUCUCUCUAUUCUGAGCUCAUCUAACCUACAAACACACACACUUUCUCUCCGUCUUGGAAUAACCUAACAGAAACAAACUCUGUUGGGUUUCACCGCUGUUAGGUAAUAGCCAAAACAACUUCCUGACCUCUUAUAACUCUCUGCACCAUUCAGAACCCUGCUUCACUUUUCAGCCUGGAAAGUCAGAUAUUAUAGGAAUUGAAAUACAGAUUUUGUUUAGUAAUUCAUGGAGUUUAUGAUACAGUUUUCUGCCAUCUGUCAAGCUUUUGCUAGCUGCUCAGACUGUAUGUUGAACUAAGUGAACUAUCUCCGGCCUGUUUCUCUCUUUGCAAGAACUCAAAUAUUAACUCCUGACAUGAUAACCCAGUUUUUUAGAGGGAUAGUCCAGUUUUCGACAGUGAGAUCACAUGAGGUUAACGUUAUCUGGAGGAUGGAGGACAAACUGUUAGUGGUAGUGUGUUGCUGCCUGAGCUCUAUGAUAUAACAAGGUCUUGAUAUUCAAAGGGGAAUACAAAGGAGCUGUAAGGAUGCAAGUGAGUGAGCGAACGCUGAAUGAUAACUCGAUACACAGUCACUGGCAUCACAAUUUGUUUGUGCAGCUGAUUUUUAAUGCCAAUGUGCAUUGGUCACCAACCUAACAUUUGGUCAACCUUCAGGAGGUGGACCUUUAGCCUCCUGAGACAACCUGUCAGUCAGGCCAAAUGUGAAUAUUUGAUUAUAUCCUAAAAGAUAAAGUCUUUGGUCUCUGAUGUAAAUUAACUGUUUGCAAAAUCUUAACCUAAAAACUGGAUGUUUGCAGAAAUUGCAAUGUCAUCUACUUUCAUCAGCAUAAUAUGGGUAAAAAUAUAAAAAUAUUUCUUUCUUUGCACAUAACCUACAAAGUUGCAAAAUGUUCAGACUACAUGUUUCUGCAAAAGUACAUUGGUUCUGUGUUACAUCUGUUCUGUGUUACUAAAGCGUCUUUGACCUUUUUUUGUUUGUUUGCAAAGUUACAUCAUUCAAAAACUUGAUCGAGUUUUAAAUUCAGUUUAUAUUUGAAUUUAGCCAAAGUACAGUCUCUGAAGUCCUAAUCUUAGCCAGAAUACUUUGGCUGCUCAAACACAACCUC